AGUGAACGCUGGCGGCAGGCCUAAUACAUGCAAGUCGAACGGCAGCACAGUGGAGCUUGCUCCAUGGGUGGCGAGUGGCGGACGGGUGAGGAAUACAUGGGAAUCUGCCCAGUCGUGGGGGAUAACGUAUGGAAACGUACGCUAAUACCGCAUGCGCCCUUCGGGGGAAAGUCGGGGACCGCAAGGCCUGACGCGAUUGGAUGAGCCCAUGUUCGAUUAGCUAGUUGGCGGGUAACGGCCCACCAAGGCGACGAUCGAUAGCUGGUCUGAGAGGAUGAUCAGCCACACUGGAACUGAGACACGGUCCAGACUCCUACGGGAGGCAGCAGUAGGGAAUAUUGGACAAAUAGGGGGCAAACCCUGAUCCAGCCAUGCCGCGUGAGUGAAGAA
rnacentral:rRNA from 1 species